GACCACUCUGGUGGCUUAGUGGUUUUAGCAUCCACCUCAAAUGUGGGAGGUCAUGGGUUUGAGCUACAGCCAAGUCA